GAGUUUGAUCGUGGCUCAGGACGAACGCUGGCGGCGUGCCUAAUACAUGCAAGUCGAGCGAGGGUUUUCGGACCCUAGCGGCGGACGGGUGAGUAACACGUAGGCAACCUGCCUCUCAGACCGGGAUAACAUAGGGAAACUUAUGGCUAAUACCGGAUAGGUUUUUGGAUUGCAUGAUCCGAAAAGAAAGAUGGCUUUUUGCUGUCACUGGGAGAUGGGCCUGCGGCGCAUUAGCUAGUU
rnacentral:rRNA from 1 species